GCCCGGAUAGCUCAGUCGGUAGAGCAGGGGAUUGAAAAUCCCCGUGUCCUAGGUUCGAUUCCGAGUCCGGGCACCA
rnacentral:tRNA from 1 species